rnacentral:rRNA from 1 species
AGCGAACGCUGGCGGCAGGCUUAACACAUGCAAGUCGAACGGGCAUCUUCGGAUGUCAGUGGCAGACGGGUGAGUAACACGUGGGAACGUACCCUUCGGUUCGGAAUAACUCAGGGAAACUUGAGCUAAUACCGGAUACGCCCUUUUGGGGAAAGGUUUACUGCCGAAGGAUCGGCCCGCGUCUGAUUAGCUUGUUGGUGGGUAACGGCCUACCAAGGCGACGAUCAGUAGCUGGUCUGAGAGGAUGAUCAGCCACACUGGGACUGAGACACGGCCCAGACUCCUACGGGAGGCAGCAGUGGGGAAUAUUGGACAAUGGGCGCAAGCCUGAUCCAGCCAUGCCGCGUGAGUGAUGAAGGCCUUAGGGUUGUAAAGCUCUUUUGUCCGGGACGAUAAUGACGGUACCGGAAGAAUAAGCCCCGGCUAACUUCGUG